AUCGAACGCUGGCGGCAUGCCUUACACAUGCAAGUCGAACGGCAGCACGGGAGCAAUCCUGGUGGCGAGUGGCGAACGGGUGAGUAAUAUAUCGGAACGUGCCCAGUCGUGGGGGAUAACGCAGCGAAAGCUGUGCUAAUACCGCAUACGAUCUCUGGAUGAAAGCGGGGGACCGUAAGGCCUCGCGCGCUUGGAGCGGCCGAUAUCAGAUUAGCUAGUUGGUGGGGUAAAGGCCCACCAAGGCGACGAUCUGUAGCUGGUCUGAGAGGACGACCAGCCACACUGGAACUGAGACACGGUCCAGACUCCUACGGGAGGCAGCAGUGGGGAAUUUUGGACAAUGGGCGCAAGCCUGAUCCAGCAAUGCCGCGUGCAGGAUGAAGGCCUUCGGGUUGUAAACUGCUUUUGUACGGAACGAAACGGCGAGCUCUAAUAAAGUUUGCUAAUGACGGUACCGUAAGAAUAAGCACCGGCUAACUACGUGCCAGCAGCCGCCGUAA
rnacentral:rRNA from 1 species